AAAAAUUUAUAUUACUUUGGUUUUCUCUAACAGUGAACAAAUGCACAUUAAACUGUACUUUAAACUGUGACAUGAAAUAAUUGUUCCUUAUCUCUCUAUCAAAUACUUUUGUCAACUGUGACAUGUUCAUAAAGUGCUUUGAUUGUUAAACUAACACUUUGGUCUAACAAGACACGCCUAGAUAAUAAACACUUCAUUUGUAGGUCAAGAAGACUCAAUUUUAUCUCAUGUUUUUCUGAUUUAUUUUAUCAAAACAAUAAAUGCGGGGCAUGCAAAUGCUAACUGUGCUAAAAGCAUCUUGGUGUUAGUCAAGCUAAAUGAUAACUCACUUGAUAAACAAUAUUCUAGUGCCAAAGUUUGUAAGAAGUGAAUAGUCUAGGAUUUAUUGCAGACAUCAUUUCUAAGACUAUCAGUCUGUGGGAAACAAACCAGUAAAUGCCAACAGAGAAAUCCAAAGAUACAAAUGGAAAGGGCUGGGCUGGACAUACAAUACUUAAAGAACGACAGAAAAUAGUUCAAAACAGGAUAUGGACUGGAACCCACAAGGAAAGAGAAAGGCUGGGAGACAAAAGAAGCAAAGACGGCAGGACAGACCCAACUGGGGGGAAUAGCUUAGAACAAAGGCUAUUAGAGGCAGGACAGACCCAACUGGGGGGAAUGGCUUAGAACAAAGGCUAAUGAUGAAGUCCUGUUGUGGCCAUACCCUCCACUGAGAGUCAAAUGGAUCAAGUCCAUGUUUUUUUCCUGCAAAUGGAUGUUCUAGUUUCAACUUCAUAAUUGAUGUCAUGAAAACUCAGUACGCUGGACCCUUCCGUUUCAUUUGUGAUCCUGGCUGCUCUCUCUUUGACAGAUUCUAGGUGACCUGGGUUGGAGUUGAUGUUGUCACUCAGAAGCCUAGUUUUGACUUCUGAUGAUGUGCUUUCUUGAUGAUUAUCCUGAAAGAUGAAACUCACACCAGAAACACCACAAAAAACAAUUACAUUGAGAAAGGCAUCAAGCAAGAUGAUGAACCAUUCAUGAUUCAGGCAGUGAAAACAGUGAAUGGAAUUCCCAAGGCAAGUAGCGACCAGAGUCUAAACAUAUUUUUACUUGAUAGAAAAGAAGGCCUUUUUUACAGAUUUCAUGGCUCUAAUAAAUAUCAAUUUAGCUA